GCCCCACCCUGUUACUCCCCUGCUCAGAAGUCUGCAGUAGCAUCUCCCUCCACACGGAGAAAGAGGUCUUAUAAAAAGUCUGCAGCGCAGAGUAUUUCUAUCAUUUGCCCAAGAACGCAUGAUUGGAGGGUGGCAGAGGUUCAAGCCUAGCCUGCAUGUUCGACUUCCUCACCAUCCUUCUUCAUUCCUGGAGUGCUGUCAGGGCAAUGGUCCUUCUCACCUCAGGCCCCCUCCGAUCCUCCUCUCCCCUGGGAGCAGUAGGGAACAUCAGGCCAGGCUGUCAGAUCACCUAGUCCCACAAGCGGAAGAAGUCCCCUCGCUGUCCUCUCCAAGACCCCGCCUGCAGCCGACAUUGCUGAGGACUCUUCACCAGUUUCAAGCCUGGUUUUCCGAGAGAAGAAAAUGUUCUCCGCUGAAACAAUUAUUGGAAUACAAGAUAAGGAUGAAGGUCAUAACAAGCUUGUGGUGAAGAAGUGUAAGUGGAAGAAAGAAUGACCUGGUUCACACCCAGGGCCCAGGCUCUAUAGAGGUGAGGCCACUGCUGCCCACCUCUGUCCUCCUCUGGAUGCUCAUGCGAGGCUACCUUUUGCUCCAAACCUGCUGGAACCUAAGAUGAGACAUGAUAAAAUAAAUGGGCUGACCAAUAAAACAGGGGGAGCUGAGUUUCAGGAGAGCCUACGCUGCUGUCUUUACCAAUGGUCCCUGGAGCUCUGUUUAUAAGUAAAUUAGGAGGAUCAGCCUGAU
ensembl:lncRNA